GGCUAUAAUUUGCAUAAAUAGCAAAUGUCGUAAGUGUAGAGGCAGAAGUCUUUUCUUCCCUACACUUGUGACGUUGCACCGACACUUUGCCGCAACCAUGAAGAUCAUCCUGUUUUUAUCUGUUUGCAUUUUGUUUUUGACCGUGGUUUCUGCGGCCACUGCCUACACUUGCUUGAAAGUAGCCGGCGCGGAAUGUCUUCCCGAAGAAUCCUGCGGUUGGGCCAUAAGAAGACACGAAAAGACCUGCCCCGGAAACAAAAUAUGCUGCAUUUUAAUUUAAUGACAACAACGACCAUUCAAAUAAUCUGUUUAUUUCUAUAAUUUUUAUCCAUCGUUUCACCCAACAAUUUUCUGUUAUUAAAAAAUUAUAUUAUACCUUAUUAUAUACGACCUCUUAAAGGUUGAAUAAAUUUGAAUUUUCUUGCAAUUUAUUUAUGUUUUUACACGAAAAUAUUGACAAUAUUAACCGAACCUUUACGAGUAUUAAAAAUAAAAUUACACUUACAAUGCUAGUACAGUAUUAAUAUACUUGCGUGUAAGUGUAAUUAGUUCCUAAGGAAUUCGUGUACAGUGUUGAAUUCAUUAAAAGUAAGUCUGUAGCGUGUAGAAAAAUCAAAGUAGAAUAGAGUUAUUUUUUAACGUAAAAUUAUCUUAUUUACGCCAAAUUUUAUCGUUUUUAUCUGCCGCUCUAUUAUAAAAAUCCAGCAGCAAUCCUGGCAACAUUUAAAAGUGCGCGCGGGGCCACAUGUUAUCAUAUUUUAUUUUAUAUCGUUAAUUACUAUAAAAUGGAAAAAGCUUAAUUUUGCUGGUAGGAAUUAGUUUUAAUAUCUUCGUUAAGUCUUACCCCAUUCCACACACGACACGCCAUUCCCUCUAUCUUCCCACCCCUCGACUUUAACCAGCAAAAUUUAAUAUCAUCAAUGCACGCGAGUCACGGUGGCAAAUUUCGUUUCUCAAUCUUCACCCAUCCCGAGGUAUUAAACAAAAUACUGUAGACACAUCCUCCGAUUUUUGUCUUCUCAACUGGGGGGGUGUCAAAUGGUGGAGAUUUUCAAAAACUCCGGAGAGUCAAAUUUGAUCCAAAUACAAUACUUUCC